GACGAACGCUGGCGGCGUGCUUAACACAUGCAAGUCGAACGGAAAGGCCCUGCUUUUGUGGGGUGCUCGAGUGGCGAACGGGUGAGUAACACGUGAGUAACCUGCCCUUGACUUUGGGAUAACUUCAGGAAACUGGGGCUAAUACCGGAUAGGAGCUCCUGCUGCAUGGUGGGGGUUGGAAAGUUUCGGCGGUUGGGGAUGGACUCGCGGCUUAUCAGCUUGUUGGGGGGGUAGUGGAUUACCAAGGCUUUGACGGGUAGCCCGCCUGGGAGGGUGACCGGCCACAAUGGGACUGAGAUACGGCCCAGACUCCUACGGGAGGCAGCAGUGGGGAAUAUUGCACAAUGGGCGGAAGCCUGAUGCAGCAACGCCGCGUGCGGGAUGACGGCCUUCGGGUUGUAAACCGCUUUCGCCUGUGACGAAGCGUUAGUGACGGUAAUGGGUAAAGAAGCACCGGCUAACUACGUG
rnacentral:rRNA from 1 species